UGAUGUUACUCUGUUUUGCAGUAGACAAGUGUGCUGUGAGUCCCACAGGAGACAGGCUGUACAUCACCAGCUUCUGGUACAACAAUCUUCUCACCCUGGCCAGGGAUGGCACACUCCUGGCUACAUACACAGACCCAGCACUACGUGGCCCACUUGGUCUACAUGUGACCCCUGCAGGCCAGGUGCUGGUCUGUGGACGCAGGUCCGACACUGUACUACAGGUGGGCUCGGAGGGAGAGAGUAAGCUGGCUAAUCUUGCUACUGUGAAGGAUGGAGUGUGGGGGCCAUUGUCAGUCUGCUACAGCAGCACCACAUCAUCCAUCAUUGUGGGACAGUGGGACGACACCAUCCUGGUGUUCAGAGUGGAAUAGUGUGUACAUUCGCUGCCGAGUCAGGACAAGGAUGCUGAGGAUGUGGUGGACAAGGAUGACCUGAAUACACAGAAGGAGAGCACCAGCAUUGAUAUGUAGUUAGCCCAGCAACAGCUCCAGUCCGGCCUGCAGGAGCUCCAGUCCAGGGCGACCCUUCUUCUCUCCUGACCCCAAGCUACUCCCCUAGACCUCCGGCCUCAAAGGGUCAGCAGUGUUUAACAAUUCCGUUCUGCAGGAAAUUCUGAGCACAUCGAGAUUUCAUGUGCUGUUCUCAACUACCGCUAUGUCCGUGUCGAGUUUCCCACACUUGCAUCUGAGUAGUUUUGUUUAGCUGGAGUGCCUGAGUGGGACGAGUGCUAAAGACACCAGGAGUUAUAGCAGUAGUUUUGGUAACGCUAACAGUCAGUUCUCGAUGUUGGACAUCACGAAGAAUGACCAGUUAAAUAACAUGUUCCAUUUUUUUAUGGGACGAACAGAAAUUCAGCAAAGAAUUUGAGAAAAUCAAGAAACAAUUCAAGCCAUAAAUUCAACAGUGUUACCUUGCCAAGGGGAAUACUUUUGAUGUUGAUAGUGCGGGCAACAGUAGCUGUGCGGACUUUCACGGUUUGUCCUUUCAGGGGAAAAAGUGUCCUAAGAGAAUGCGCUUUUGACGCUAAUGCUGACAAAGGCAGUAAUGACUAGGUUGUGAACAUACAGAACACGAUACAUCAAUGGGGUGUGUUCUUCUGGCGCGAAAUCCGCGAAAUAUUGGAAACACUCUGCUAAAAGCGAACAAGUGCGUUUUGUUACGAGAACUUGAAACUCUGAACCCAAAGGGCAUCGUAUUGAUUCGAGGCUAAAGAAGGCCUUGAAAUAUGACAGCAUUUUUGUUGUAUGAUCCAGUGCGCCAUUCGACGCUCAACCGAAGUUAAUCAGAACUCAAACUCAAUCCUUAACAAUAUCAGUGAGGCCAGCGUGUCAUCUCAGCUUGUUGAGCUUCAGCAAACAUGAGCCCACAAGACAAACAUUAUUGUACAAUCCCGACCCCCUUUUGCAAAAAUAUUACAACUCUCUCAAGAAAUUCAGCACGAAAUCCUCUUGUGUCAGCCUUACAUGCUUCCUAUCAAGAUAUUUUCCCAUGUUUGCUUCAUCAACACUUCCAACAGCGGAUCCUUGGUAAUUUAGACUUCCGUUCCAGCGUGGAUGGGGCUUAGCAAUAAAUUGAUGCUGGGCAACGGCAAAUUGUUCGGGGCGAGUCGCUCGAACGGAAACGAUCUGACCCAACAGAUAGCUUAUAGUGAUGUGUCCAUUAAUGUGACUGACCUCGAUAUGUUGCUUUUAAAUAAUGCGAACCUUACACCAGAAGAACAGUCUGCAAGCAAUUUAGGCCAUUUAACAACCGUUGUUGUCUGGAAUUCACGGCUUUGGGUUGACGAAUUUGGCGUCAGGACUUGCUCUAUCUCUGUCUACGGCAGCAGCAGCAGAAACAACAAAAAAAACAGAUUGGUAACCAGCUGUACAACAGGCUCUCUUGCCAGCUGGGCCCAGACACCCAGGGACACUUCCUUCACAUGGGUGGUGGUGGGUGGCUCUCGGCGAAGGACUUUUGGGCAGUUCAACGUGUCCUACUCGCAGAGUGCAGCCAAUCUAAACAUGGGGCUCCACAUUUUCCUGGUCAAGAUUACCUUAUCCAAAUAGUAGAUUGAAGCCUUAUCCUCAAAAGUUCAGGUCCAAAGAAAGAUGGUGACCAACUGCAACUCAGCCACUUCAUCUCAAUAGUGAACAAGGCACCCUUCCUAAACCCUCGCCGACUGCGCUAAAUGGGAACCUUAAUAUACAUGAGAUUCCAGGCGGAAUGUAAAAUCUGUACCACUCUGAUCUCCAGUAGCAGCCCCAGCCGCGGGAGGCCGAUUCAUGAUGCACCUAUGGCCUUAAUUAUCUCUGAACAUCCCAACCUCACAUGACCUGUAGGGCGGGGAUGUAUAUAAAUGAUCAUUAAAUCCCACAAACCAAGGAGAGGUUAUAUUGGAGUCAAUUUUAUGGGAAGGGGGGUUAACUAAACGUGUGCCCACAGUUGCACAGAGCCGUUGGUUCAUGUUCAGUGUCAAGCAGUAUCCUAGCAAUCAAGUCAAGUCAGCGCAGCAGCAACAACAGAUGCAGCAGCAGUCGUACGCAAUACAUCAACAACACUGGUGCAUAUGCAUUAAACUAUAAAGAAGAAAACCGGAUAACAAAGCGUUGAUUUUGUUCUGGAUGCAUUAGCAGUCACAGUACAUGAACCGACAGUAGUCAUCUUCUCGAGAUUCUGGCCUCUGAACCAUCAGUCUAUGAACAUAAUGCAGAGCAAUCUAGGGACGCCAAUUGACGAAAUCAAACUGACCAAUCAGCAACAAAGCCUGUUGCAGCAGUUGUUACCAUAUUGACCCCAGUCAAAUCAUGGAAGCUUAGACAUAAAUACUGUUUAAGAUGUGCCAGUCUCUACAGACCUCGUGGUCUGUUAAGCACUUACUCUGACAGGUGUCAUCUUUGGAUUUUGUGACAGGUGGAAAAUGAAUAACCUUGUUCAGAUUGAAAUGGCAGAAUGAAAAAGCACAAUUCACGCGAAAAGCCAUAUAUUAAUUUGACCAGCCAUGGUUUGUUGGAAGAAAAACAAUCUGUCAUGUAUUAUGGAAACUUUGAUGCUGUCAGUCAUUAACAAUUGAUGAGAUAUG